GAGGAAUAAGGGGAGUUCCCUCUCUCUGGGAAGGGCCUGAUGAAGACUGGCUGGAGAGAACCAUGGAGAGCAUGUUGGGCUUUGGUGGGAAGGUCCUGAGAUAAGACGUAAUGUCGAGGUCCAGACCAGGUUCUGCGGAGAAGACAGCCCUUCACGUUCCUCUGUGUGGCCCAGAGAGAUUUCCCCCACCAAAUGCAGUAUGUAUCUCAAGGGAAGUAUCGCUUCUCUUGAUGAAUGGGAGCUGGAGCUCCCUGGUGAGCAGCAUCCAGGAUUACAGCUGGAAUGUGGUUCCCUUCAUCAUUUAGAAGAGUACAGCUGUUUGACAGUGUUCAGGGCAGUGUAUGUAUACAUGGUUAAACUUAGUUGCAUUAAGGACUCCUUCAUUUCAUUGAUGGGAAACUCAUUGUACACCUUGAGAAGGGGAAAGGUGUAACACAGGAAUAAAUCUGGGACAAAGCGAGGAGGAAAAAGGAAGAGAAGGAAAAAAGAGACCAAAGAAACAGAGGGGAGGAAGAAAGGCUGGGACUAAACAAAAUCAG